rnacentral:lncRNA from 1 species
UUUUUAUUCUAUUUUGUUAGGUUGUGUUUUGUUUAAAUAUUCACUCCACAAAUUUUGUAUGUUAUUUCAGCAUUUGAGGAAACCGUCUUCCUGAACUCCACAAAUUUUGUAUGUUAUUUCAGCACUUGAGGAAACCGUCUCCCUGAACUCCACUGCAUCUCAGUUCAUCUUGGCAGAAUUUUUCUAAAAGUCAAAAUAAAAUGUGAUUGGCAUUCAAUCUGGUUAUCAUCUUUUGAGCUUGAGGCUAAACUGCUUUUAACCUUGGG